rnacentral:rRNA from 1 species
GGCGGCAGGCCUAAGACAUGCAAGUCGUACGCGAACGACCUUUCGGGGUUAAGUAGAGUGGCGAACGGGUUAGUAACGCGUGGGAACAUACACAGCACAGGGGGAUAACCAUUGGAAACGAUGGCUAAUACCGCAUACGCCCUAUUGGGGAAAGAUUUAUCGGUGUUGGAUUGGCCCGCGUUAGAUUAGCUAGUUGGUGGGGUAAUGGCUCACCAAGGCGACGAUUUAUAGCUGGUUUGAGAGGAUGAUCAGCAACACUGGAACUGAGACACGGUCCAGACUCCUACGGGAGGCAGCAGUCGGGAAUAUUGUGCAAUGGGGGCAACCCUGACACAGCCAUGCCGCGUGAGUGAAGAAGGCCUUAGGGUUGUAAAGCUCUUUCAGAUGUGAGGAUGAUGACGAUAGCAUCAGAAGAAGCUCCGGCUAACUUCGUGCCAGCAGCCGCGGUAAUACGA